UACAGAGUUUGGGACCCAAGCAACAGGAGAUGGAUCAUUCUUGAUGUUCAACCUAAUCAAGACUUCUACAUCUUACGCUUUGCGCCCAGGCAGACACUGAAUUUUGUCUUGUUGAAUUACAAUUCAAAUAGGUAAAUUCGUAAGUAUUUGUUUCUUGUUGGAGAAAAGUAAUAAUGCAAAAGAAAAAAAAUGUUUGAAGCAUUAUUUUUUAAUUUGCACAGUAGCACUCACAUCAUUAUCUUGUUGAUGGUAGUAGAUGCAAUUACUUCUCUAGGUUAUUUGCACUCAGUAAUACAAUGUAACUGAGGAAGGAAACCAAAAAUUGACUAAGAGGUUGGUAUUUUUUUUAAUAUAAAUUAACACUGAUUUAGCAUUAGACAAUGUAAAUUGGCAAAAGCAUUAGUCCUGUAUGUCUUGCUGACUUUUUACUUUGAUUUCUCUUAUUUUGCCAACAAUAAUGGUUUUAUGAGAAAAAAAAUUGUUGUACAGAGCAGUUCAUGGAGAAAUUCUUCACGAGAAUCCCUGAAGAUUUAACUGCUAUAAAUCCAGUGGAUUGUGGAUAAACAGCUUGCCAUGCCCCUUGCAAAUGUGAAAUAUACCAGACAAAGAAGAGCAAUGUUCAUCACUGAAAAUGUGCCAUAAUGAAUGAGGUGCACUGAGAACAUAACUGCUGCUCACAGAUGCUGCUACCAUACUGACUUAUUUCAGAAGCAAUCAGUAAUUGAACUUCAUCUGUGUUAUAACAUCUAUUGGUAUGGAUGUUCUAUUGCAAUAGUUCAUUCUUAUUAUUAUUCUUUCUCAUUGCAAGCUGAUUUUAUUCUGUUUAAUCCAGUCCAAGAUUAACACAUAUAAAGGGAAUAUUAUACAUGUGUGUUUCCUUCA